AAAUAAAAACUGUCUUUAUUUAAUUUAUUUUAGAAUUUAAUUUUUAAAUUAAAAAGUUUAAAUAUAUAUAAAAGACGAGAAGACCCUAUAGAGUUUUAUAUUUUAUUGUUUAUAAUUAAUUUAGAUUUAUUAAUUUUAUAUAUAUUAAAAUAUUUUAUUGGGGUAAUAUAAAGAUUAAAAUAAUUCUUUAAUUUUUAAUUUAUUAAUUUAUAUUAUUUAUUGAUCCAAUAUUAUUGAUUAUAAGUUUAAAUUACCUUAGGGAUAACAGCGUAAUUUUUUUAGAGAGUUCAUAUUGAUAAAAAAGUUUGCGACCUCGAUGUUGGAUUAAAGAUUAAUUUAGGUGCAAAAGUUUAAAAAAUUUGGUCUGUUCGACCAUUAAAUCUUUACAUGAUCUGAGUUCAGACCGGUGUGAGCCAGGUCGGUUUCUAUCUUUAUUAAAUUAAUAUAUUUUAGUACGAAAGGACCAAUUAUUAAUUAUAAUAAUUAAUUUUUGAAUAUUAUUAAAUUAUUUUGGCAGAUUAGUGCAAUGAAUUUAGAAUUCAUUUAUGUAAUUAAAUUACAAGUAAUACUUGUUUUAUAUAGAUUUUAUUUUUUUAUUUAUUAUUAUAUUAUUAUUAAUUAUUUGUGUAUUAAUUGGAGUAGCUUUUUUGACUUUAUUAGAACGUAA
rnacentral:rRNA from 1 species